rnacentral:lncRNA from 1 species
AUGUGUUUCCAGAUCCCUACUAUCACUACCACUCGCAAACCACGCAUCACACACUGUAGGCAGCGCAAUCCUAACAACCUGCACACUUUGCCUAUGUCUGCUAAUACACUACUUUCUUUUUCUAUUGGUCUCUGGAAUUGCCAGUCUGUUGUAAACAAAGCCGAUUUCAUUACUUCUAUUAUUAGUCAUUCAAAGCUUAAUCUCAUGGCCCUGACAGAGACCUCGAUCAAACCAGAGGACACUGCUACACCUGCAGCACUCUCCAAUAAUUUCUCAUUUUCCCACUCCCCCCGUUUGACUGGAAGAGGUGGAGGUACUGGUCUGCUCAUCUCUAAUGAUUGGAAAUUUAAUCCUUUACCAUCUUUGGGUAUCAACAGCUCCUUUGAAUCUCAUUCAGUUACUGUUACCUACCCUCUUAAAAUACAUUUUGUAGUUGUCUAUCGACCCCCAGGACCACUAGGUAACUUUUUGGAUGAAUUAGAUGUGCUGCUCUCAACCUUUCCUGAGGAUGGUACUCCCCUAGUUAUGCUUGGAGAUUUCAACAUCCACCUAGAUAAACCUCUAUCUGCUGACUUCCACACUCUGCUUGCCUCUUUUGAUCUCAACCGAGUGUCAACUACUGCUACUCACAAAUCAGGCAACCAACUGGACCUUAUUUACACACAACACUGCUCCACUGAUCAUGGACUGGUUACUCCACUACACACCUCAGAUCACUUCCUCCUCACUCUUAACCUCUACAUGGUUCCUGACACGUCACUUACCCCUUCACAUGUCAUCUUUCGACGUAACCUACGCUCCCUCUCACCCUCCCGGCUAUCUGCAAUGGUUUCAUCUUUGCUUCCUCCCCCUAAACUAUUAGCAUCUUUUGAUGCUAAGAGUGCUACUGAUACUUUCUGCUCCACUCUUACAUCUUGUUUAGACACUGUUUACCCCUUGUCUUCCAGGCCAGCCCGUACCACCCCUUCAGCCCCUUGGUUAUCUGAUGUUCUACGCGAACAUCGUUCUAAGCUUAGAGCUGCUGAAAGGGUGUGGCGCAAAUCCAGGUUUCAUCUUUGCUUCCUCCCCCUAAACUAUUAG